UCUGUCUCAGGUGGUGCAUAAGGAACCACAGCAUGUGACUAUCAAACAGGUGAGAGGAGGGACCUCUGAAGGAAUGGAAACUGAAGCGGAGAGAGAGCCUCUUACAUUCAGACUAUAGAAGAUGUAAUCUAUAUGUCCUAGGUCCAAACAAUUUAGAGGAAACCAGAAUUAAGUAUCAAAUAUCCUCAGAAGCAGACCAAGGAAACAAGAAGAAAUGGGACCCUGCCUGCCAAGGAAGCACCUUCAACUCUAAACCACUCUCUGGUAAGCAGCAGCACUGAGUCAUAGCUGGGCUGAGGCUCCAGCCUGCAAGACUGAGAAGGAUGGGGACAAGCAGCCCCAGCGUUUCUUAGAGGACUCAGGUAACCUUGUCUUCACUGGUAAUCAGUAAAGAGGAAUCUUCCAAACUCUCUACCCUUUCUUCAGUGGCUCAAAACCCUUGUUUAAACAAAUGGUGUUUAACUCUCUCCAAAUGCUGGAAGGGAACUCUUAAACAGUACAUUAAAUAAGUUUAGUAUUGAAUACCAUGUUAUCUAACUUACAAACCUUACUCGUAUCUCCCCAAAUAUUCAAAAUGUUUCUCUCAAGUAAAUGUGCAUCUAGCUUUUAUCUGUUGAUCCAGGAAUCAGCCAAGCUCACUGCUUACCUUACUUAAAGGGACCAGGCCCAAAGACAUCUUCUUUUGACAUUGUAUAGAAGGUUUGUCCCAAACUAAUGUUUUCUUUUUUGGAAAAAGCCCAAGCUUAAGAAUUUUGCUCAGGCUAUAAAUUCUUCCAAAACCCUUUCUUCUUUUCAAUAAACUAUUCUUUAUAAGGGACG
rnacentral:lncRNA from 1 species